UGGGGAAUAUUGGACAAUGGGCGCAAGCCUGAUCCAGCCAUGCCGCGUGAGUGAUGAAGGCCUUAGGGUUGUAAAGCUCUUUCGCCGGUGAAGAUAAUGACGGUAGUCGGAGAAGAAGCCCCGGCUAACUUCGUGCCAGCAGCCGCGGUAAUACGAAGGGGGCUAGCGUUGUUCGGAAUCACUGGGCGUAAAGCGCACGUAGGCGGAUUGUUAAGUCAGGGGUGAAAGCCUGGAGCUCAACUCCAGAACUGCCCUUGAUACUGGCAAUCUCGAGUCCGGAAGAGGUAAGUGGAACUGCGAGUGUAGAGGUGAAAUUCGUAGAUAUUCGCAAGAACACCAGUGGCGAAGGCGGCUUACUGGUCCGGUACUGACGCUGAGGUGCGAAAAGCGUGGGGAGCAAAACAGGAUUAGAUACCCUGGUAGUCCACGCCGUAAACGAUGGAGGCUAGCCGUUGGCGAGCAUGCUCGUCAGUGGCGCAGCUAACGCAUUAAGCCUCCCGCCUGGGGAGUACGGUCGCAAGAUUAAAACUCAAAUGAAUUGACGGGGUCAUAGCUG
rnacentral:rRNA from 1 species